AAAGCUGGCCUCUAUACAUAAGCUAGCACUUGAGGAUGGGCCCGCGGCGCAUCAGGUAGUUGGUGAGGUAAUGGCUCACCAAGCCUAAGACGCGUAGCUGGUCUGAGAGGAUGAUCAGCCACACUGGAACUGAGACACGGUCCAGACUCCUACGGGAGGCAGCAGUGGGGAAUAUUGGACAAUGGGCGCAAGCCUGAUCCAGCAAUGCCGCGUGUGUGAAGAAGGCCUGCGGGUUGUAAAGCACUUUCAGUGGGGAAGGACAGAUUCGGGUCAAUACCCCGGAGCCCUGACGUUACCCACAGAAGAAGCACCGGCUAACUCCGUG
rnacentral:rRNA from 1 species